GACGAACGCUGGCGGCGUGCUUAACACAUGCAAGUCGAACGGAAAGGCCCUGCUUUUGUGGGGUGCUCGAGUGGCGAACGGGUGAGUAACACGUGAGUAACCUGCCCUUGACUUUGGGAUAACUUCAGGAAACUGGGGCUAAUACCGGAUAGGAGCUCCUGCUGCAUGGUGGGGGUUGGAAAGUUUCGGCGGUUGGGGAUGGACUCGCGGCUUAUCAGCUUGUUGGUGGGGUAGUGGCUUACCAAGGCUUUGACGGGUAGCCGGCCUGAGAGGGUGACCGGCCACAUUGGGACUGAGAUACGGCCCAGACUCCGACGGGAGGCAGCAGUGGGGAAUAUUGCACAAUGGGCGGAAGCCUGAUGCAGCAACGCCGCGUGCGGGAUGACGGCCUUCGGGUUGUAAACCGCUUUCGCCUGUGACGAAGCGUGAGUGACGGUAAUGGGUAAAGAAGCACCGGCUAACUACGUG
rnacentral:rRNA from 1 species